rnacentral:lncRNA from 1 species
UUACACGCAAUUAUUAUAUUAUAAAUAACUAUUCAAUCUUGUGUAUAAAUAAGUAAUGCUUGUAUUUUUUUAGUAUGAAAAAAUUUAGACAUACAAACACACAAUAAAAAAUUACAAAUAAAAUAUCUGUAGCUGUAUACCUGUUUACGAUUUUGUUUCAGGUGCAUUCAAUAUAACACUGUUAUAUUUAGUUAUUUUUACAACAAUUGUCUGUGCAUUUCUUUUUUGUUA